UACGGGGGGGGGCAAGCGUUGUUCGGAAUUACUGGGCGUAAAGGGCGCGUAGGCGGCUUUUCAAGUCGGGCGUGAAAUCUCCGGGCUUAACCCGGAAGGGUCGUUCGAUACUGUUGAGCUAGAGUGUGGAAGAGGCAACUAGAAUUCCGUGUGUAGCGGUGAAAUGCGUAGAUAUCGAGAGGAACACCUGCGGCGAAGGCGGGUGCUGGGCUGACACUGACGCUGAGGCGCGAAAGCUAGGGGAGCGAACGGG
rnacentral:rRNA from 1 species